UACGAAGGGGGCUAGCGUUGCUCGGAAUCACUGGGCGUAAAGCGCACGUAGGCGGCUUUCUAAGUCAGGGGUGAAAUCCUGGAGCUCAACUCCAGAACUGCCUUUGAUACUGGAGAGCUCGAGUCCGGAAGAGGUGAGUGGAACUCCGAGUGUAGAGGUGAAAUUCGUAGAUAUUCGCAAGAACACCAGUGGCGAAGGCGGCUCACUGGCUCGAUACUGACGCUGAGGUGCGAAAGCGUGGGGAGCAAACAGG
rnacentral:rRNA from 1 species